GGUCCAAUUGCGAAGUGGCCCACGCUUGCGUAAGUUGAGAAAUAAUUCAACUGCCGUGCAGGAGACGCUCGUUCGAUUCGGGCUUGGACCG